UUUUGCCUACGGGAGGCAGCAGUGAGGAAUAUUGGUCAAUGGGCGAGAGCCUGAACCAGCCACGUCGCGUGAGGGAAGACGGUCCUAUGGAUUGUAAACCUCUUUUGCCGGGGAGCAAAAAGCGGUACGUGUACCGCAUCGAGAGUACCCGGAGAAAAAGCAUCGGCUAACUCCGUGCCAGCAGCCGCGGUAAUACGGAGGAUGCGAGCGUUAUCCGGAUUUAUUGGGUGUAAAGGGCGUGUAGGCGGGAUUGCAAGUCAGAUGUGAAAACCACGCGCUCAACCUGUGGCCUGCAUUUGAAACUG
rnacentral:rRNA from 1 species